rnacentral:rRNA from 1 species
GACGAACGUUGGCGGUGCGCUUUAUACAUGCAAGUCGUGCGCGAAAGGUCCCUUCGGGGACCGAGUAGAGCGGCGAACGGGUGCGUAACACGUGAGCAACCUGCCCUGGAGUGGGGAAUA